CAGUGCUCAAUACAGUCUGCUGCGUUGUACAGGUUUUUUUCUGCAGAUAUACAGUACAUGACAGGGUUUAUUUUGUAUUUCUGCUUGUGGUUUCAAAACAGUCCUAGCCAGCCUUUGAGCUCAUAAAAUGCAAACAGGCUUGUGUCUUUUCAUGCACUCGUGUCAUGUCACGUAGUAUGUGCUGCUCUAGUGCUGGGGAGAAAGCUGCAAAAAAAUCCUGGACAACACCCACUAUCCUCUGCACAGCAUUUUCACCAGGCAGAGGAGUGUGUUCAGUGGCAGACUGCAGCCUCUGUCAUGCUCCACUACAAUACUAAGGAUCUCUUUUGCCCCCUUGCCAGUAGACUGUUCAACAACUACCAGAUCUGUUCUAUUACUCAUAGAAACAGACAAGAACUAGCAGUCAAUCAGCUGUGUGUAUGGCAUUCUCAACCGUUGCAGCAGAAGAGAGCUUGCAACUCAUCCAGUCUUACAAUCCUACCACCUGCCCACUGGAUCCACUCCCUUCCACUAUUCUCCAAACCAUCUCACAAGACCUUCUUCCCUUCAUCAGAACAAUUAUCAAUGGAUCCCUAAUAUCUGGUCAUGAGACCAACUACGUUCAAGAGAGAAAGGGUUAUUCCCAUCCUAAAAAAAAACCUGCUUGAGAUCUAUAAGACAUCAAUGACUACAGAACAGUAUUACUUUUCUCUUCUCUUUAAAAAUUCUUGAAAGCUUUGUGUAUAAUCAACUGUCUGUCUAUAUCUCUCACAGAACAACCUCAAAGAUCCCAACCAGUCUGGUUUCAAAGCAGCACAUUCCACAAAGAUUGCCCUUUUGGUUGUCUCUGAGAAACUACAUGCCGCUAGAUCAGCCAUGCUGGCAUCUGUCCCCAUCCUCCUCGACCUUUCACUGGUGUUUGAUACAGUCAACCACAAGACCACUUGUCCACUCUCAGGAGUCUUGGAAUUGGCGGAUCAGCAUGGCAAUGGUUUGCUUCCUACCACGAUGCUUGCUCAUAUUAUGUAACAUGGAGGGAAGUGACAUCUCCACUGGUGCCCCACAGGGCUCAAUACCAUGGCUUCUGCUUAGAUCUCAGCAUGCCUGACGAACAUAUCUUGAAUGACAGCUCAUCAGUUGAAACAAUCUCAGCAAAACUGAACUGCUGAUCAUCCCAAGUGAUUCAUCCCCAUGUCAGGAUUGUGGAAUAUCCCUGCACAACAAUCUGAUCUCCCUUUCAGUCACAGCUCUCAACCUUGGGGUAACCAUGUAUAGUCAACUGUAUUUUUCCUCGCACUUGUUGCUAAUGUGACACACCCACGUCAGUUUCUUCACUACAGAAGGAAUCAGCCAUUUUUGUCCACACAGGCUGCCCAGGUACUUGUUCAGUCUCUUGUCAUUUCAAGACUGUACUACUGCUGCUCACUGCUUGCAGGUAUACCUAUGAAUUUGUCCUCUGCAAAUGAAUUUGUCCUCGCUCCCUCAGAUCUACUAGCACUUCUUGACUGGUCCCACCAUCUCUCAGGGUGAGAGGUAGGUAUGCAGCAAGGCUCUUUUCUGUUCUGGCACCAAGGUGGUGGAAUAAACUUCCCCUAGAUGUUCGAACAGCUGAGUCACUGGCUUCAAACCACUGGUAAAGACCCACCUCUCUCAAUUACAGUUUAAAAACUGAACAGUUUAGAUUGAUGGUGUCCUAAGUUUGUAACCUAGAAAAACACCAGUUUUCUUGUAUUCAUCAAUAAAGACUUAAAAGCACUUUUGUAUGUUGCUCUGGAUAAAGGCAUCUGCCAAAUGCUGUAAUUGUAAAAAGUUAUACUAGGAAAGAAAAAUUAAAAGGAUUCUGGACUGACUGAGUUUAUUCUUGCUGAAUAGGUAAAGCAUUUAUUUAUUGUCAAAUCCCAUGUGAAACCAGUGAAUGAUAGUUGCUAGUUUAAUUAAAUGAAACUAAAACUCUGUAAAUUAAAAUUACUGAAUUAACAUUUCACGAUUCACAUAUUUGCAAACCUCUGUAUCUGUAUCUGCAUGAUUUUAUGCUUUGCAUCGCUGCCACAUGAUUGGCUGAUUCAAUAUUUACAUGACUGUGCAGGUGUACAGCUGUUUCUAUUAUGACCAGUGAGUGUAUAUUGUUACUUAAUUAAGAAUAAAUGAACUUCAAUUAAAGCUUA